GAGUUUGAUCGUGGCUCAGAGUGAACGCUGGCGGUAGGCCUAACACAUGCAAGUCGAACGGUAACAGGUCUUUCGGGAUGCUGACGAGUGGCGGACGGGUGAGGAAUACAUCGGAAUCUGCUCAGUCGUGGGGGAUAACGCAUGGAAACGUGCGCUAAUACCGCAUACGACCUUCGGGUGAAAGCAGGGGAAUCUCUCGGGAUCCUUGCGCGAUUGAAUGAGCCGAUGUCGGAUUAGCUAGUUGGUAGGGUAAAAGCCUACCAAGGCCACGAUCCGUAGCUGGUCUGAGAGGAUGAUCAGCCACACUGGGACUGAGACACGGCCCAGACUCCUGCGGGAGGCAGCAGUGGGGAAUAUUGGACAAUGGGGGCAACCCUGAUCCAGCCAUACCGCGUGGGUGAAGAAGGCCUUCUGGGUUGUAAAGCCCUUUUGUUGGGGAAGAAAAACAACGGGUUAAUACCCCGUUGGUAUGACGGUACCCAAAGAAUAAGCACCGGCUAACUUCGUGCCAGCAGCCGCGGUAAUACGAAGGGUGCAAGCGUUACUCGGAAUUACUGGGCGUAAAGGGUGCGUAGGUGGUUGCGCCAGUCUGUCGUGAAAGCCCUGGGCUUAACCUGGGAAUGGCGAUGGAAACUGUGCAACUAGAGUGUGACAGAGGGUGGUGGAAUUCCUGGUGUAGCAGUGAAAUGCGUAGAGAUCAGGAGGAACAUUCGUGGCGAAGGCGGCCACCUGGGUCAACACUGACACUGAGGCACGAAAGCGUGGGGUGCAAACAGGAUUAGAUACCCUGGUAGUCCACGCCCUAAACGAUGCGAACUGGAUGUUGGGUCCAACUUGGGAUUCAGUAUCGAAGCUAACGCGUUAAGUUCGCCGCCUGGGGAGUACGGUCGCAAGACUGAAACUCAAAGGAAUUGACGGGGGCCCGCACAAGCGGUGGAGUAUGUGGUUUAAUUCGAUGCAACGCGCAGAACCUUACCUGGCCUUGACAUGCACGGAACCUUUG
rnacentral:rRNA from 1 species